UCCCUAGUGGCUCAGACGGUAAAGCAUCUGUCUACAAUGCAGGAGACCCGGAUUCGAUCCCUGGGUUGGGAA
rnacentral:tRNA from 1 species